UUAGCUAGUUUCCUUGUGCUUUUUCUUCUUCUCAAGCCUGUCUCGUUGUUCCAGUAUAUCCAUGGAACCGCCUACGAAGAAGCAGAAUUCAGGUGAUGAUGAUAGAUUCAGCGACCUUCCAGGUGAAGUUGUUCAUCACAUUCUUGAUUUCCUCGGGACGAGGGACUUUGCGAGAUUAAGUUUCGUAUCAAAAAGAUGCCGAUAGUUGUGCAUUUCAAACCCUAAUUUGUGUUUGGGUAACAUGAACGACAAAUCAGGUGGAUCUAGCUUCAACAAAUUUGUGGAUAGAUUCAUGGCUCGCCGCUGCGCGGAUGGGGUGAAGACGGGGCGCUUUCUGCUCCGUUGGUCUUUCGAUGAUGAAGACGACGAAGAACGCCGGGUGGAGAGGUGGUUUAAGAAAGCAGCAAUAAAAUUGGGUGGUGUUGCAGAAAUUAGCCUUAAAUUCGUUCGCCCCCAAUCCCAACCCCGCCGCCCUAAGCCAAAACCCUUUGCCUUGACACUUUGUGUUCUGCUUUGUAAUUCCUAAGGUUCCUCGAGGUCGAUGCCGGGAAUGGCUUUCUCAGAUUACCCCAGCUCGUUCUGAUUUUGCUACAGAGCUCGAGAGCUUACAAUUGCGCCACGUUCGAAUCGAAAACGAAAAUUGCUUUCAUCUUUCAAGUCCCUCAAGGUAUUGAAGCUUGACAGAAUUAGCGGGAUAAAGGGUAUGACUAUCACCAGCUCGUCUAUUGAGAUUUUAUCACUUGUAAGCGUUGAUAAUCACCUCUGCGAUGUUGAGAUUCAGCAGCUACACAAACUCUAUGACCUUAAUCUAUUCUGGAAUCCCAAAUCCUCUAGAAGUUUGUCACUGAAAAUCUCUGCUCCCAAUCUCCAAACAUUUAAGUGGAGUGGAAUUACUGUCGAUGACUACUGUAUGAGGGAUUCGCCAGAUCUUUUGCGAGCUUCUACCAAGAAUAACUUGGUUAUCACAGCGUACAGAAGCUAGACAUCUAAAACUAUAUGGUUGUUUUGUUGAGGCUUUACUUAAGCAUGGUUGUUUGCCAAUUUAACUGUGAUAACAACUUCAAGUGGUGACCAAUUCGAACCAUUGUCCUCCCUUCUCAGAGGAACAACUAAUCUAAAGCGUCUCAAUCUAUACGUUCAUGUUAGUGUGAUAACUCAAUGCCUUCGUCUUCAAGAGAUCUUCCAUUUAAGAUGGAAUAUUGGCAAUCUCAAAUCUUCAUGUUUACUCGUCAACUGAAAACAGUAAUUGUGCGGCUCUUCGAUAGAGAGAAUGAAAUAGAACUAAUCAAAUAUUUGCUCACCAAUGCACAAGAAUUGGAAUUGAUGCUCAUUUUGUGUACAUCACCAGUGUCAUCAGGUGUGAUUACUAAGUUAAGAGAGUACAAGAAGCCUUCAACAAAAUUGAUUUUACGUGAUGUUUAAGAUAUGAGAGAUGGUUGAUUGUGCUGAUUGCCAAUUGGUGUGGUAAAUGUUUUUUCUUUACUUUUUGGCAUUGAUUAUGUAAUCACUGGAUAUUGAUAACACCUUAAUCCGAAAGGGAUCAGUAAAUUUUAUUUUAUCAAGUUUGAGAAGA